rnacentral:tRNA from 1 species
GAGGAUAUAGCUCAGUGGUAGAGGGCAUGCUUAGCAUGCACAAGGUCCUGGGUUCAAUCCCCAGUAUCUCCA